GCCGGGCGCGGUGGCUCAAGCCUGUAAUCCCAGCACUUUGGGAGGCCGAGACGGGCGGAUCACGAGGUCAGAAGAUCGAGACCAUCCUGGCUAACGCGGUGAAACCCCGUUUCUAAUAAAAAAUACAAAAANNNNNNNNNNCCCGAAUAGCCGGGGUUACAGGAGACGCCACCACUCCCGGCUAAUUUUUUGUAUUUUAGUAGAGACGGGGUUUCACCGUGUUAGCCAGGAUGGUCUCGAUCUUCUGACCUCGUGAUCCGCCCGUCUCGG
rfam:Chlorocebus sabaeus isolate 1994-021 chromosome 5, whole genome shotgun sequence.